GUAGUUCAACAUCUUCCCAGUCUAAAAGAUCUUCAAGUUCAUGCAGCAUACAGCCAACACCCAAGACGAAGAAAACAGCUGAAGAUGUUUAUGCAUUACAAUGUGCAGUUCUUGAAAAAUAACUAGAGAAGUACAUACUUCAAGUAGAUCUCUUAAAAAAAUUGCUUGGCAAAUAUGACAAUUUAGAUUCUGAUGCCCUGGAACUACUGUCAGUUUUGGGGCAGUGAUUGUUAAAACAUUAGAAAACUUUUCAAGUUGUUUAAUAUUUAAAUGUUUUGAAUCUAUUUACUUUAAUGUUUGACUUUUUUAAUUGCUUUUUCCAAAAUACCAUUUUUAUUACAAAAUCCAUUUAUUAAAAUGCUGCAUAUAUUAUAUUGAUUUAUUUUUUCUAUUACAUGUACCACAUAUUGUAUUUAAUUCUUUUUAAUUGAAAUUGAUGAUUAUCUUAUAAAUGAAGACAGCUAGCAA